rnacentral:rRNA from 1 species
CAGUAGCCGCGGUAAUACGUAGGGCGCAAGCGUUGUCCGGAAUUAUUGGGCGUAAAGAGCUCGUAGGCGGUCUGUCGCGUCUGGUGUGAAAUCCCGAGGCUCAACCUCGGGCUUGCAUCGGGUACGGGCAGACUAGAGUGCGGUAGGGGAGACUGGAAUUCCUGGUGUAGCGGUGGAAUGCGCAGAUAUCAGGAGGAACACCGAUGGCGAAGGCAGGUCUCUGGGCCGCAACUGACGCUGAGGAGCGAAAGCAUGGGGAGCAAACAGGAUUAGAUACCCCUGUAGUCCCUGUCUCUUAUAC